GGCGAGUGAAGCGGCAAAAGCUCAGAUUUGAAAUCUGGCNUCUUUUGGUGNNNGAGUUGUAAUCUGUAGAGGAGCAUUCGAGUGUGGCCUUGGCUUAAGUUCCUUGGAACNGGGCGUCAUAGAGGGUGAGAACCCCGUUANCGGCCUUUGACCUAUGCUCAUGUGAAUCUCCUUCAACNAGUCGAGUUGGUUGGGAAUGCAGCUCUAAAUGGGUGGUAAAUUCCAUCUUAAGCUAAAUACUGGCAANAGACCGAUAGCGCACAAGUAGAGUGAUCGAAAGAUGAAAAGAACUCUGAANANAGAGUGAAAUAGUACGUGAAAUUGUUGAAAGGGAAGCNCUUGCUACCAGACGCNCUGGCAGUCGAUCAACCUCCAUUUUUGGUGGUGCACUCGGUUGUUGGUGGGCCAGCAUCNNUCNUAGUGGUGGGAUAAAGACCUUGGGAAUGUNGCUUCCUUUGGGGAGUGUUAUAGCCCUUGGUGUAAUGCCAUCUAUUGUGACUGAGGACCGCGCUUCGGCGAGGAUGCUGGCAUAAUGGUCNNAAGUGACCC
rnacentral:rRNA from 1 species